GACGAACGCUGGCGGCGUGCUUAACACAUGCAAGUCGAACGGAAAGGCCCUGCUUUUGUGGGGUGCUCGAGUGGCGAACGGGUGAGUAACACGUGAGUAACCUGCCCUUGACUUUGGGAUAACUUCAGGAAACUGGGGCUAAUACCGGAUAGGAGUUCCUGCUGCAUGGUGGGGGUUGGAAAGUUUCGGCGGUUGGGGAUGGACUCGCGGCUUAUCAGCUUGUUGGUGGGGUAGUGGCUUACCAAGGCUUUGACGGGUAGCCGGCCUGAGAGGGUGACCGGCCACAUUGGGACUGAGAUACGGCCCAGACUCCUACGGGAGGCAGCAGUGGGGAAUAUUGCACAAUGGGCGGAAGCCUGAUGCAGCAACGCCGCGUGCGGGAUGACGGCCUUCGGGUUGUAAACCGCCUUCGCCUGUGACGAAGCGUGAGUGACGGUAAUGGGUAAAGAAGCACCGGCUAACUACGUG
rnacentral:rRNA from 1 species